UACGGAGGGUGCAAGCGUUAAUCGGAAUUACUGGGCGUAAAGCGCGCGUAGGCGGUUUGAUAAGUCGAUUGUGAAAGCCCUGGGCUCAACCUGGGAAUGGCAGUGGAUACUGGAAAGCUAGAGUGCGGUAGAGGGUAGUGGAAUUCCCGGUGUAGCAGUGAAAUGCGUAGAGAUCGGGAGGAACACCAGUGGCGAAGGCGGCUACCUGGACCAGCACUGACACUGAGGCACGAAAGCGUGGGGAGCAAACAGG
rnacentral:rRNA from 1 species